rnacentral:lncRNA from 1 species
AGGUGUAUUGAUGAUUAUGCCUUAUUGGCAAGUGACGUGGACUUAUUCUUAUCGCUUUCCUUUUUAUUUCUCGCUAUCACAUUUAAAUUGUACACACUAGUACGAGUAUGCGUAAAUUUUAAAGUGUAAAAAUAUCUACUUCGGAUAGAUUUCGAUUUCCUUUUAUUGUAGGAAAUCUGAAAAGCUAUCCUUGGAUUCCUUUUAAAUCCUACCCAUGCACUUCCCUUCAUCAUUCAGUCUCAGCUAUUUUUUUUCUGUAUGUUAUGUCCCCCCUCAAUCAGAAAAGCAUCUCUCUCUCUCUCCCUUCUCCCUCUCCCACGCCACAUUCUUCUUCUUCUUCCUCUCUGCAACAACCACAAAACACACCAAAACUCACAAACGUGACAAACCAACUACAUCAUCAUGCUCAUCUCAGUCCCAUGAUCACAACCAUGUCCUUGAAAUCUAGUGUGGACGAGUUUUGACUCACCAACUCGGAAGGUCCGACUCGGCGAGUUCGAUACUACGG